AUGCGUUUAUGGCGUCCACAUCGUUUCCUCUCAUUUUCCCGAAAAACUCCACGUGAGCCUCUCUUCUUCUUCCGUUCUACCAAUCUCUCCUAUUCCCACCGAAUCCAGUCGCCAAUUUUGCUCCACUUCUCGGAAUCUCGCCGUUUCUCUACAUUUUCAAUUGCCGAUGACGAGAAGUAUGGCUUCCGUCGGCCGGAGAUGUAUCGGAGCAACCUUGCUGGAACGGUUGCUGCUUACGAGCGCCAUGUGUUCCUGUGUUAUCGAAGUCCUGAGGUCUGGCCGUCCCGCGUUGAAGACUCGGACGCUGAUCUGCUGCCGAAGCUUCUAUCUUCUGCCAUCAAAGCUCAUAAAAAUGAGAUCUCUUUUAGGACGAAACUGACGAUAUGCGAAGCAGGGGAGGGAACGGAGUAUUCGGAUGGAGAUGUAUUGAUUUUUCCGGAAAUGGUCAAAUACAGGGGCUUGAAAGAUAAAGAUGUGGAGAUGUUUGUUGAGGAUGUGCUUUUGAAUGGUGAACUGCGGGAGUCUGGAGCAUACGAUGUUUUGGCUGGCUCUUAUAUUUUUGUAUGUGCCCAUGGCAGUCGAGAUAAGAGAUGCGGUGUCUGUGGACCAGUUCUUGUUUCAAAACUUAAAGAGGAGAUCGAACUAAGAGGGCUGAAAGAUCAAACUUAUGUCCAUCCAUGUUCACACAUUGGUGGACACAAGUAUGCUGGAAACUUGAUUAUAUAUAGCCCAGAUUCAGAUGGGAGAAUCAUGGGGCAUUGGUAAGACAAGUCUUAAAUAGAGAAAAUACUUCACCCCAGAUGAUGUGCCUGAAUUGCUGGAGAAACAUAUUGGAAAGGGAGAGAUAAUAGAGAGGCUUUGGAGCAUAAAUGUUAGAUUGGAUAGCAGUAUACUGAACUCAACAUGAUUAGGAUCUGACUUGGAGAGAUUUUUGCUGCAAGCCCUCCCUUCUCAGAUUUGUGAUGACCACGAGCGACACCUAACAGACAACUGAUGGAUUGCAGUUUUCUGAAACGAAAUUUACUGCUCUGUUGAGUUCUUCUGUUCAACAAAGAAGUUCGACAAUGAUGUUGUAACGCUCUGUGUUGGGAUUUAUUCUGUAUUCAUGCAACAUCAUAUUGAAUAUCUUUAUCCCUUCUUCAAUCAAACCGGCAUGGCUACAAGCUGAUAACAACAAGAGAAACGUUACUUGGUUGGGCAUUGUCUCUAUCAUUUUGUCAAACAGUUUCAAAUCUUGUCUUCCUUGUCCCUGGAUUCUACAACCUGCCAUGCUCGCAAAGCGAAGCUUGCACAAAAUCGUUAUCUGCGAAGCCAGUAUUGACAACAUAGCAUGUCAUGGAGGCAAAGUGCUUGUUGGGAAUGCUCAAAGCUGACCAAGAAGCAAGAAUUUUCAUUUUUCACCAAGGGAACAACACCAGGAUUUAUGUUGUUCAACAUCAAAGCAGCCCAAGUAACCAGGGCUUUUUCUAAAGCACGUCAAGGAGUUCUUCAGGUGAAGCAUUUUGUGUCAUAUUAAUCAGAGCUGUGGAAAUUGAAAUAUCCAACUCCAGACCUUUGCUGGUAACAAGUUGAUGGAUCCUCUUUCUUUCCGAGUUACAUGAAAUUGCACACGUCUGUUAUGCACCAAUCACUGUGGGUAGAUUUAAUUUGCUUUUCCUAUUAAUAAUUCUCCAUGAAAUUACAUGUUUUGCCAGCAUUUUGUCAAACUAGUUGGCUGCAGCUUUAUGGAGCCUAUAUCAGCAUGUAGAUUCAAUGGAUUGGCCAAUUCUAAGUCAUAAUCUAGAUUUCCUCUAGUUAUAAAACCAUUUAUGCUACUUCUAACACUUGAUUUGACACUUGACUAACAAUACUAAGCUAUCAGGUGUGGUAGGGUCGGGGUUUAGAUGCAUGAUCACUAUUAGCUCAUACCCAGUUAUCAUUGAAGUCCACAAAAUCACGUCUGGUUGAGCAAAUCUCAAUAAACAUGGAGUGGCUCGUGCAAUUAUUCCGCAUGUCAAGUAUAGUUCGAUCAACAGAGCCUCAACAACCGUGUCAAGGAGAGUGGUGUAUUCCCCAGCUUUUGAGUGUUUGCCAUUGCAAUUGUGCCAAGAUUUUGCAAUUGCUACAUUUCUCAAACAAUUUCAAGCUGCCACUCGCUUUUCAUGUGUAUGAUGUGUGAGCUGCAUAACUAUCAAGCUUCGUUACGGAUUGGCCGAUCAGGUUAGCGUUAUCCUUUCUGGCUCGAAAUUAUGAAGGAGCACACAAUAUAGUUUGUUCGAAGCUUAAACAAGCUGCAAAGGGACACCAUCUACGAAGAUAUAUGGAUUAAAAAUAUAAUGAAAUCUAGAGUACAGUGACCAAAAUUGUACUUAGUUUAAGUGAAAAAACCAUUGGGAUUGAAUUGAAGUUGGAUAUUGGUGGUGUAAUGUUUUGUUGGUAAUGUUCUGAUUUGAAGUUUUUCUGAGGAUCAAAGCCAUUACUGAUGGGUGGUGAAAUUAUCUCCAAUUUGAUUGAAAAGCAUUUAACUUUGA